CCACUGGUAGCUCAGUUGGAUAGAGCAACGCGUUGAUCGCGUGUGUCGCGGGUUCGACUCCCGCCCAUCCUUCCC
rnacentral:tRNA from 1 species